rnacentral:rRNA from 1 species
AGAGGGGGCAAGCGUUGUUCGGAAUUACUGGGCGUAAAGGGCGCGUAGGCGGCCUGCUAAGUCGAACGUGAAAUCCCUGGGCUCAACCCAGGAACUGCGUCCGAUACUGGCAGGCUUGAAUCCGGGAGAGGGAUGUGGAAUUCCAGGUGUAGCGGUGAAAUGCGUAGAUAUCUGGAGGAACACCGGUGGCGAAGGCGGCMUCCUGGACCGGUAUUGACGCUGAUGCGCGAAAGCCAGGGGAGCAAACGGGAUUAGAUACCCCGGUAGUCCUGGCCCUAAACGAUGAAUGCUUGGUGUGGCGGGUAUCGAUCCCUGCCGUGCCGAAGCUAACGCAUUAAGCAUUCCGCCUGGGGAGUACGGUCGCAAGGCUG